UUUUCCCAGUCANCGMGUUGUAAAACGACGGCCAGUGAAUUCGAGCUCGGUACCUCGCGAAUGCAUCUAGAUUCCUACGGGAGGCAGCAGUGGGGAAUUUUGGACAAUGGGCGAAAGCCUGAUCCAGCCAUGCCGCGUGCAGGAUGAAGGCCUUCGGGUUGUAAACUGCUUUUGUACGGAACGAAAAGCCUCUUUCUAAUAAAGAGGGGUCAUGACGGUACCGUAAGAAUAAGCACCGGCUAACUACGUGCCAGCAGCCGCGGUAAUACGUAGGGUGCAAGCGUUAAUCGGAAUUACUGGGCGUAAAGCGUGCGCAGGCGGUUUUGUAAGACAGAGGUGAAAUCCCCGGGCUCAACCUGGGAACUGCCUUUGUGACUGCAAGGCUGGAGUGCGGCAGAGGGGGAUGGAAUUCCGCGUGUAGCAGUGAAAUGCGUAGAUAUGCGGAGGAACACCGAUGGCGAAGGCAAUCCCCUGGGCCUGCACUGACGCUCAUGCACGAAAGCGUGGGGAGCAAACAGGAUUAGAUACCCUGGUAGUCCACGCCCUAAACGAUGUCAACUGGUUGUUGGGUCUUCACUGACUCAGUAACGAAGCUAACGCGUGAAGUGACCGCCUGGGGAGUACGGCCGCAA
rnacentral:rRNA from 1 species